UUUCCAUUUAGCAGCACCUUAGGAUGGCAUAAUAGCCUU
rnacentral:sRNA from 1 species